AGCCACAUACCUCAGCACCAGGUGGAC
rnacentral:piRNA from 1 species